rnacentral:lncRNA from 1 species
AUCCUGUUGAUCAUCUGAGGUCAUAGAGUGUUAUUAUUAUCUUACUUGUUGUAUGAUUUGGGAAGAGGGAGAUCGUGUCUCCUACAUUAAAGAUCGCUUUUAAUUUCAUUUGUAUUAUGUAAGAUUAUAUAUAUAUAAUGGAAUAUAUGCACCUCCUAUUUGUAGAGCAGAGGGGAACCCAGGUAUCCCGACGAGGCCCCUUCGCCUCAAACUGUGACACCUUCUCACAUGUGCUGUGUCUGACACCAUACAAAAUGCUGAUCAGGGCAAAGCUCGUUUAGUGCUCAUGAGGCCCUGCAAGGC